UUAUACUGUUUCAGUAUUUAGUAGACUUUGUUUUGUGAAUAGCAAUGGUUUUGUGUCUGAGUUGUCAUGUUUUGAGUUUUGCCAAAACUUACUGCUUAUUAGAGAUGCCGAGCAAAGGUGCUUCAAAGUAUUGAGCAAAGGCUGUGAAUACUUAUAAACAUGUGCUUUUUUUUGUUUUUUUAUUUUUCAUAAAUUUCAUACUCAUUAAAAGAUUUCAAACAAACUUCUUUCAUGUUGUCAUUAUGGUGUAUUGUUUGUAGAAUUUUGAGGAAAAUAAUGAAUUUAAUCCAUGUGGGAAUACGGCUGUAACAUAACAAUGGGGAAAAAGUGAAGCGCUGCGAAUACUUUCCGGAUGCACUGUAUAUAGUAUAUUGUAUGUAGUGAAACUGAUCUUCUGGGAAGUGCUGUGUGCAUAUGUGUCUGCCUCCUAACCUGCUCCAGCUCUAUUAUAAUCACCAGGAGCUUCUGGAUCCCCUGCUUCAGGGGUGGUGCUCACAUCCAGGCAUGCAACAAUGUCUCCAGUCACCUGAAACCCUUAUAAGAGCAGCUGCUGCCAGACUGAGCUGGAGGGUGAGGACGUUGGAGCGUGUACUGCACACACCUUUGUUUGCUGAGCUGGUGUUAGCAUCUUCCUCAGGGUGAGGGAGAAUCAGGUUCUUUUCCUGUACCUUGAUGACUAUGGAGAACUGUCCAAGGGCUCAGAUGGAGGAACGUGCUACACAAAGAUUCAGACUCUCUGGCGCCAGCACAACAUCACAGAGGAGAUGGGUCAUGCACAGGAAGCUAAUCAGACUCUGGAGGACACUGACUGGGAGAUCCUGGAUUUUCUUGGCUAAUGCCAAAUCUAAACUAACCAGGGAUCUGCACAUUUACCUAGAAAUGCCUACAGCCAAAAUCCCCAGUACUGACUGAACACAUCAAAUGCUGAGUUUACUUUUACAGUCUUGAAUUAACACCUCUGCUAACUGCGUCAUCACCUACAGUGCUGAACUGACAGUUUACUUAACAGCCAUAAUGCUCACUGUUUACAAUACGAAUUAAAUGUGAAUUAAGCACACCUUUGGUUAAAAGAUGGGGGGGGAAAGAAUUGGUUUAUCACUCGUUGGUUUUGUAAAUAAGGCUUGGUGAAAAUUAGGUUUAAGCUCUGUUUGUGCCACAGGCUAUAUACCCUUCCUCUAAUUUGUUUUCAAUGGAUGUGUACUGUUUUACAAUCUAAGGGCUUUGUUUGCAUCUGUAAUGAUUACACGGAUAAGACAUGUUUACCGUUUGUCACUUUCCUUUUUUUCUCUCUCCUUUAUGGAUAUACCAGUUAAAUAUGUCACGGUUUAGUCAACUGUAACUCUUUUGUUCCUGGUUGUUUGGAAUCAGUUAAUAAACUGUGUUUUUAA